GAGUUUGAUUCUGGCUCAGGAUGAACGCUGGCGGCGUGCCUAACACAUGCAAGUCGAACGAAGCAUAUAGAAGGAAGUUUUCGGAUGGAAUUUUAUAUGACUUAGUGGCGGACGGGUGAGUAACGCGUGGAUAAUCUGCCUUACACAGCGGGAUAACAAGUGGAAACAGUUGCUAAUACCGCAUAAGCACACAGUAUCGCAUGAUACAGGGUGAAAAGAUUUAUCGGUGUAAGAUGAGUCCGCGUCCCAUUAGCUAGUUGGUGAGGUAAAAGCUUACCAAGGCGACGAUGGGUAGCCGGCCUGAGAGGGUGAACGGCCACAUUGGGACUGAGACACGGCCCAGACUCCUACGGGAGGCAGCAGUGGGGGAUAUUGCACAAUGGGCGAAAGCCUGAUGCAGCGACGCCGCGUGAAGGAUGAAGUAUUUCGGUAUGUAAACUUCUAUCAGCAGGGAAGAAAAUGACG
rnacentral:rRNA from 1 species